UGCCCCUACGGGAGGCAGCAGUGAGGAAUAUUGGUCAAUGGGCGGGAGCCUGAACCAGCCAAGCCGCGUGAGGGAAGAAGGUACAGCGUAUCGUAAACCUCUUUUGUCAGGGAACAAAGGCGGGGACUAGUCCCCGGAUGAGGGUACCUGAAGAAAAAGCAUCGGCUAACUCCGUGCCAGCAGCCGCGGUAAUACGGAGGAUGCGCGUGUUAUCCGGAUUUAUUGGGUUUAAAGGGGGCGCAGGCGGCCUGUUAAGUCAGCGGUAAAAGCCCGGGGCGCAACCCCGGCGAGACGU
rnacentral:rRNA from 1 species